UGCAACCAUCGUACUCUCCACAAGAUGGAGAGCUGAGCUAUUUUAGGUGAAACGCACAGAUAAAGGAAGUGACGUAACAUACAGACAGGAAUUUCCGGGUUAGAGGUGAGUCGGGAGGAAGUAAAGAAAAGACAUUGCUGGAACUGGCAGCAGGGGAGAAAUGCAAUGUAUAUAGAUGAGAUCAAGCAGGAUGGAGAAGCAGUGGCGUCAAAUGACUGAGAAGAUAAUAAACCUCACCCUUGAGAUCAUCUUUUUGUUGACUGGAGAGAUUUUUCCUCCUCUGAAGGAUGAAGACCAACUUACCUUUACUGUGCCUCCACCUCGCUCCUUGAUGAUUAAGAUAAACAAUGGCAAGAAGAUUCUAGAAGUCACCAAGAAGAUGAUGGAGCUGCUGACAGGAGAGGUGAGGAGGAUUC